rnacentral:rRNA from 1 species
ACUCAAAUGAAUUGACGGGGGCCCGCACAAGCGGCGGAGCAUGCUGAUUAAUUCGAUGCAACGCGAAGAACCUUACCUAGGUUUGACAUAUAGAGAAAACUUAUAGAGAUAUAAGGUCCUUUUGGGCUCUAUACAGGUGGUGCAUGGCUGUCGUCAGCUCGUGUCGUGAGAUGUUGGGUUAAGUCCCGCAACGAGCGCAACCCUCGUCCUAUGUUGCCAGCACGUAAUGGUGGGGACUCAUAGGAGACUGCCGGGGUCAACUCGGAGGAAGGUGGGGAUGACGUCAAGUCUUCAUGCCCCUUAUGCCUAGGGCUUCAAGCAUGCUACAAUGGCCGGUACAAAGGGCUGCGAAACAGCAAUGUGGAGCGAAUCCCAAAAAGCCGGUCUCAGUUCGGAUUGGGGUCUGCAACUCGACCCCAUGAAGUCGGAGUCGCUAGUAAUCGCAGAUCAGCAACGCUGCGGUGAAUACGUUCCCGGGCCUUGUACACACCGCCCGU